GCCGGGGUGGCGGAAUUGGUAGACGCGCUGGCUUCAGGUGCCAGUGGGGGUAACCCCGUGAAGGUUCAAGUCCUUUCCUCGGCACCA
rnacentral:tRNA from 1 species